AGCCAGCUUGCUCACCCUCUCCUCGAGGCAUCAGGAAGAGGCAGCAUCGUCUUCAUCUCCUCCGUGGCCGCCAUCGUCGGCAUACGCAAUGUAUCAGCCUAUUCAGCAUCGAAAGGAGCGAUGGAUCAGCUUACCCGAAGCCUUGCAUGUGAAUGGGCGAAGGAAGGGAUUCGAACAAACUGUGUCUCCCCAGGCUUCAUCAGGACUCCAAUCAAUCACCACUUACUGGAAGACAAGGAGAUUUUGGCGGCGGAGAGCAAUCGGGCUCUUCUUGGUCGUGUGGGAGAGGCGGCGGAGGUGGCGGCUGUGGUGGCUUUCCUUUGCCUCCCGGCUUCUGUCUACAUCAAUGGCCAAGUCAUCGUCGUCGAUGGAGGUCGAACUGUGAACGGGAACGCAUGACUCUCGACAGAUGCUGCUAUACUGCUAUAUCUAUCUAUCUAUCUAUAUCUACGCCUUCAGCACGGAGACUAAGAUUUAUGUAUACGUGGGAAGUGGCUUUCAAGUUUGUCAACUUAUCUCUACAUCUUCAUCAGCCAUCACAACUUCUAUUAUCGAUCAAC